GGGAAGGUACCUAAAGUAGUGCGUAUAGCACUCCAAACUGACAUUCUAGACUCUGUUGUACCCUUGUAGAACCAUAUAUAAUUAUAAUUAUAUAUGUUAAUUCUAUUAUUGUAUAACCCUCCACAAUAGUUUAGCACCCGAUAAUCUCCCUUGGAAAGGUGAGAUAACUCCGGGAGACUCACGGUCAACCAAGGGUCAAACUACUCUAACCCUGGUCAAAUGGACCUGCG
rnacentral:lncRNA from 1 species